rnacentral:rRNA from 1 species
CACGCGGUAAACGAUGAUUACUGGCUGUUUGCGAUACACAGUAAGCGGCCCAGCGAAAGCGUUAAGUAAUCCACCUGGGGAGUACGUUCGCAAGAAUGAAACUCAAAGGAAUUGACGGGGGCCCGCACAAGCGGAGGAACAUGUGGUUUAAUUCGAUGAUACGCGAGGAACCUUACCCGGGCUUGAAAUGCAUUUGACCGGCACCGAGACGUGCCUUCCCCUCGGGGCAAAUGUGUAGGUGC